GUGAGACCCUAUCUCUACAUAAAAUACAAAAAUUAGCCGGGCGUGGUGGCACAUGCCUGUAGUGCCAGCUACUUGGGAGGCCGAGGCAGGAGGAUUGCUGGAGCCCAGGAGUUCAAGGCUGCAGUGAGCUGUGGUCACACCACUGCACUCCAGCCUGAGCAACAGAGCAAGACCCCUAUCUCAAAUAAAUAAAUAAAUAAAUAAAUAAAUAAAUAAAUAAAUAAAUAAAUAAGUGUAACAGGGAGAGAGUAAAGAGGUUUUGUUUUGUUUUUUGUUUUUUUUUUUUUUAGAUGGAGUCUUGCUCUGUCACCCAGGCUAGAGUGCAAUGGUGCGAUCUUGGAUCACUGCAACCUCUGCCUCCCGGCUUUAAGCAAUUCUCCUGUCUCAGCCUCCCAAGUAGCUGGGACUAUAGGUGCCCACCACCAUGCCCGGCUAAUUUUUGUAUUUUUAGUAGAGAUGGGGUUUCACCAUGUUGGCCAGGCUGGUCUGGAACUCCUGACUUCAAGUGAUCUGCCUGCCUUGGCCUCCCAAAGUGCUGGAAUUACAGGCAUGGGCCACCGGGCCCGGCCAACAGUAAGGAGUUUUAAGCAGGGGAGUCACACGAUGAGAGGACUCAUUGAUAAAGAUGAGUCUGGCUGCUGUAAGGACACAAUACUAGAGAGGGACAGAGGGAUGUGGAGGCCCAGCAUGAAGCCUCCUUUUGUCUCCAUAACCCUUCAGCACAGGGUUCUGGAAUGUAUUUAUGUGGCAAAUGUUUGCUCGUUCUUUUUUUCUUUUUUUUGAGAUGGAGUCUCGCUCUGUCAGGUUGGAGUGCAGGUCGGCUCACUGCAACCUCCACCUCCUGGGUUCAAGCAAUUCUCCUGCCUCAGCCUCCCGAGUAGCUGGGACUAUAGGUGCGCACCACCACAUCCAGCUAAUUUUUGUAUUUUUAGUAGAGAUAUGGUUUCACCAUGUUGACCAGACUGGUGUCAAACUGCUGACCUCAAGUGAGCUGGCCACCUCAGCCUCCCACAGUGCUGGGAUUACAGGCAUAAGUCACUGCAUCCAGCCAAAUGUUUGCUGAAUUCUUACAGCCCCAGCAAUGUCCAAGGCUCUGGAGACACCGUGGUGGACAGGACACCAUCCCUGUCCUUAAGAAAGUUCCAGCUGCCACCUGGAGGAAGAAGUGACUGAGACCAGAACUGUGCCCACCAGCUGCCACACUUACCUGGCAAGGGCUCAGAGUCAAGAUACCCAACCCAGCUCAGCACUUCUCCCUGGACCUCUUCCAACUGCAUGAAGCCCUGGGUCCCUGGGUUGUUCACAGUUCGUUGUCUCCCGGUGUAGAAAAGUCUGUCAACCCUGCUUGGACAUCGCAAUCACCUGGAUUCCUCCUUCACAAAGUGGCUCAAGAAAGAGUGUGGUGACUCUGUGGACGGGUCAUCAUGCUGGUGGCCUGCCCCGACGCACGACAGGGUGGUCAGCGUAUGAUCUCCACACGCAUCGACUGGCCGUGCAUAUCCAAGGCUCAUGUUCUGUUGUAAGGCCAGGCAAGGGCAGGCCAGGCUGUCUGGUGGACAGUUCAAGUGCCCCAAAGGCCGUCAUUCCAACCAGUGGCUUUUUUUUUUUUUUGAGACGGAGUCUUGCUCUGUUGCCCGGGCUGGAGUGCAGUGGCAUAAUCUCAGCUCACUGCAGCCUCCGCUUCCCAGGUUCAAGUGAUUCUCCUGCCUCAGCCUCCCAAGUAGCUGGGACUACAGGCGCCCACUACCGCACCUGGCUAAUUUUUGUAUUUUUAGUAGAGACGGGGUUUCACCAUGUUGGCCAGGCUGGUCUCGAACUCCUGACCUCGUGAUCAGCCCACCUCGGCCUCCCAAAGUGCUGGGAUUACAGGGGUGAGUCAUCACUCCCGGCCCAACUGGUGCCUUUUUUAUCCAGAGGCAUCCGUGGCUGCUAGAAAAAUGACACGGGGGAGGCGGGGGGCCCAGAGCCUGCCGGAAUGGCCAUAGCAGUGUCUGCCAGAUGCCCCGGGUAUAGCAGGACCAACAUGCCCCUCUGCCUCCCAGCAGAGCUUGGAUAUUCUCCUGUUAACAUUUAUGGAGACUUAUCAUGAGCCAGGCAUUGGGCUUAGUGCUUCUCAUGCAUUAAUUGCCUAAAUUAUCCUCACAGCCCACCUAUGAAAUAGAUAUUUCUUUUUUUUUUUUCUGAGACAGAGUCUCAUUUUGUCAUCCAGGCUGGAGUGCAGUGAUGCAAUCUUGGCUCACUACAACCUCCAUCUCCCAGGUUCAAGCAAUUCUCCUGCCUCAGUCUCCCGAGUAGCUGGGAUUACAGGCACCCACCACCACACCUGGCUAUUUUUUUCGUAUUUUUGGUGGAGACGGGGUUUCACCAUGUUGACCAGGCUGGUCUCGAACUCCUGACCUCAAGUGAUCCACCCACAUCAGCCUCCCAAAGUGCUGGGAUUACAGGUGUGAGCCACUGCACUGGGUUCCCCCUGAGGGUUUUAAUUCCCUGGCAUUUCUGGUCUGUCAUAGCAGAGUAGCCUUUGGUAUAAGGCACCCCAGUCCAGAGAUGGAGAUACUAUUGGCGAUGGGAAAACAUCAGGAGCACACCAACUGGGGCAGCCCAAUAAAAAGAGGCAUGGAUAUCACAUCAUCAGCUUCCCUGACUUUUUAUCAUAAAAGUGGUUAAUGCACAUAGUAAAAAGCUCAAACACCAUGAAAACGCACUAAUAAAAGUAUAUCUCGGCUGGGCAUGGUGGCUUACACCUGUAAUCCCCACACUUUUUGGGAGGCCGAGGUGGGUGGAUCUCCUGAAGUUGGGAGUUCGAGACCAGCCUGACCAACAUGGAGAAACUCUGUCUCUACUAAAAAAAUAAAUAAAUAAAUAAAUACAAAAUUACCUGGACGUGGUGGCACAUGCCUGUAAUCCCAGCUACUCGGAAGGCUGAGGCAGGAGAAUCGCUUGAACCCGGGAGGCAGAGGUUGUGGGGAGCUGAAAUCUCACCAUUGCACUCCAGCCUGGGCAAUAAGAGCGAAACUCGUCUCAAAAAAAAAAAAAAAGAAAAAAAAAAUUCUCUCUCCCAGAUCCUAGUCCUGAAUUGCCAUCCUGUCAGAGGUGUGUGAACCAGAGUGACUCCAUCUUGAAUAGGAGCUGGGUAAAAUGAGGCUGAGACCUACUGGGCUGCAUUCCCAGGAUGUGAGGCAUUCUAAGUCACAGGAUAAGACAGGAUGUCGGCACAAGAUACAGGUCAUAAAGACCUCACUGAUAAAACAGGUUGCAGUAAAGAAGUUGGUCAAGGCUGGGCAUGGUAGCUCACGCCUGUAAUCCCAGCACUUUGGGAGGCCGAGGUGGGAGGAUCACCUGAGGUCAGGAGUUCAAGACUAGCCUGACCAACAUGGUGAAACCCCGUCUCUACUAAAAAUACAAAAAAAAAAAAUUAGCCGGGUGUGGUGGUGUACGCCUGUAGUCCCAGUUACUUAGAAGGCUGAGGCACGAGAAUCGCUUGAACCCGGGAGGCAGAAGUUGCAGUGAGCCGAGAUCAUGCCACUGCACUCCAGCCUGGGCGACAGUCAGAUUCCAUCUCAAAAAACACAAAAAAAGAGAUUGCAGUAAAGAAGGCAGCCAAAACCCACUGAAACCAAGAUGGCGAUGAAAGUCACCUCUGAUCCUCCUCAUUGCUCAUUAUACCCUAAUUAUAAUAUAUUAGCAUGCUAAAAGACACUGCCACCACUGCCAUAACAGUUUAUAGAUGCCACGGCAACGUCAGGAAGUUACGCUAUAUGGUCUUAAAAAGGGGGAGGAAUCCUCAGUUCCAGGAAUUGCCUACCUCUUUCCCUGAAAACUCAUGAAUAACCCACCCCUUCUUUAGCAUAGAAUCAAAAAAUAACUGUACGUAUGCUUAUUCGAGCACCCCAUGACACUGCUCUGCCUAUGGAGUAGCCAUUCUGUAUAACUUUACUUUCUUAAUAAACUUGCUUUCACUUUACUCUAUGGACUUGUCCUGAAUUAUUUCUUGCACUAGGUCCAAGAACCGUCUCCUGAGGUCUGGAGCGGGACCCCGUUUCUUGAUAGUUUGUAUGUCCAGCAAAUUACUAAUCAUAUGUAUAUCUUUUUUGUUGCACAAAUAGUAUCAUCCAGUAUAUACUCUUGUGCACUUUGAUUUUUUUCAUUUAAAAAUAGAUCUUUGG
rnacentral:lncRNA from 1 species